GACGAACGCUGGCGGCGUGCUUAACACAUGCAAGUCGUACGGUAAGGCCCUUUCGGGGGUACACGAGUGGCGAACGGGUGAGUAACACGUGAGUAACCUGCCCACAACUUUGGGAUAACGCUAGGAAACUGGUGCUAAUACUGGAUAUGUGCCCCUGCUGCAUGGUGGGGGUUGGAAAGCUCCGGCGGUUGUGGAUGGACUCGCGGCCUAUCAGCUUGUUGGUGGGGUAGUGGCCUACCAAGGCGGCGACGGGUAGCCGGCCUGAGGGUGACCGGCCACAUUGGGACUGAGAUACGGCCCAGACUCCUACGGGAGGCAGCAGUGGGGAAUAUUGCACAAUGGGCGCAAGCCUGAUGCAGCAACGCCGCGGGCGGGAUGACGGCCUUCGGGUUGUAAACCGCUUUCAGCAGGGACGAAGCUUUUUGUGACGGUACCUGCAGAAGAAGCACCGGCUAACUACGUG
rnacentral:rRNA from 1 species